GGUCCUGUGCCCCUGGUCUAACAGCACAGCCACUCAUUUGAGUUUCGGAUCCCAGUUCCUACCCACUCGCCCACCGCUGCGGCCCCCAGGUCCCCGGUGGACACCCAAAAGUCGGGCGGGGACCGCCCUAAGUGCCCUAUGCCACAGAGUAUAGCGUCUGAGCUCUGGCGUGGCCGGCCGCUUUCCACCUGGCCUGCGCUUCAGCCUGUCUGCCUUCUCUUGCAGGACAGAUCCGGAGAGGGUGGAAGGUCCAGGUUUUUGCGGCAAUUAAUGAUACUAGGACCUGUGCGCAGGCUCUGUUUGCUUCCGGAAGGAGUGAGAAGACAGAAUGCAUCCCGAAGCCCUAGGCGCUCAUGGGAAUCUCUGCUGCCGCGGGGUCUGACGAAGGCUGGACCGAGGAUGCCGCAUCUCCGGCCCUGCUGGGUGUCAAGUCCCUCCGGGCCAUCCCUCUCUUGGGGGCUGCCUUUUACACUCCACUAGGUGGAUAUGGAACCGAGGCUCUAGUCAACCUGUCUUGGCUAUCAUCUAAAGUGCUGAAGCUCCAGUUUUUAUAAAGAAACCCCCAACCCUUCUGUUUUUAACUAAGCGUCUUCCAGUAUUCUGUUCCUAGUGCUCAGGAAGUAUUCUUGCACCCAACAAAUAUUAAUGACCACUUGCUGAGUGUGGGCCCUGUAGCAGGACCAUGGGGCCCAUGUCCUCCUUAUGUGUGAUACUUCUGGGGGAGACCAGGGCACCAAGAGCAGGCAUAGGCAGCAGGCCCCUUUGCUUGGCAGGGCUGUUUGUCUCUUUCCCUUCCCUCCUCACCUUCCUUCUGCAGAGCCCUCCCCAGGGGAUUGUGGGCUGCUGAGCCUCUGCCACCUGCUUUUCUGAGAGUCACACUUCCCUUUUUGAUCACGCAUGUGGAAAUAAAGAUUUUGCACCUGA